AUAUAUGUUAUAUAAUCCUAUUUUAUUUUGAUAUGUGCCAAUGCAAUCAAUUUCUUUGUCUCUGAUGUCAAAUAUAUUAGUGUAGAUAAUAUCAUGUGGCUUCCUUGCUGCUUAUUGCUCUUGAAACAUUAAUAGUGUAUAUAGGUAUAUGAUGCAGCCAUAGGAAGCUUCUCAACUUUUGAACCCUGGCUAACUACGUUUCUAUGCCUUUCUGGUGAUCUAGAUCAAGAAUCGGUGGGAACCAACCCGAUUCCUUGAUGGAACCAGGAAUUAGUCUAUUUUUAUUGGUAUUCAUGUGGUUCUGUCAGAGAACCGGGUGAUCCGAAUCAUACGAAUCACCCAGGUCCCCACCUAUUUUAUUUUUUUUAAUUUUUAAUUUUUAAUUUUAAAGUGAUAUUUACAAUUUUUGGGGACCGAUUCCUACACCGAAGAAUCAGCUCAGUCUGGCUUAGAUCGGUGAUCCAGAUCGAUUUAGCAAGUGUCCUAUCCAGAAGCCCCUUAUGGAUUUUAAAACACUGGUUUGAACAGAUCGCUUAUCUGGAAAGAGUCUCAUUUCCGUGCCCACCCAUUAAUGAAUAUAAUGGCGACGUUUAGUCCAUUCCACUAUUCAUGGUCUGAGCUGUCUCUCUUUCAUUCCCCUCUUAUCUGAAAGUAAAUAAAUAAAUAAAGGUACAGGAGCAUAUAAAUAAAUAAAUAAAGGUACAGGAGCAUCCAAAUGGGGUCCAGAAAUGUACCUGUUUGUAAAUGAUCCUGUUCCCGAAUUGAAAUACAAGUGCGUCCAAAUAGGGCCUAAAUCUUUAGGGUCAUUCUGUCAACCUAGCAUACAUAGGUUACUUGCUAGUAUCUGGCUACUGAAUUGUGAGAUCAGUGUUUUAAAACCAGAACUGGGUACAGAACUCUGCAGGGCCUGGUCUCAGUUGACUCAACCAGUCUGCAUGAACCUCCCAAAAAAAGAAAAAAAAGGAAAAAAUUGUCAAACAAGGAAAACUUGUGGAGAAUAAAAAAAAGCAAAUAAAACCUAUUUAUAUGGAGGAAAAAAAAUGAAAACUUAUAGAUACUAAGGGCUAUAAACAGUUUUUGCUUGUUUCACUUUUUGGCAUACAUUCAAUGGUUCAAUUGAAUCAUCAUUAACAGUUUUUAAAACAAAAUAGUGCAAAUGUGGUAUAAAUGCUAGAACUAAGCAAUAUCACAUUCAUAGAGGCAUACCAAACUAUAAAUAUACAUUCAAACUUCAAAGACGAAUCCAACAAAUGUCUCCAAAGUCAGAACAUACAAAUCACAGCCAACAGGUCAAUGAAAAAGGAGUCCGAUGUGUCCAUGAGACCAUGAGUACUAGGACAUAGAACAUAAAGCUGACUGCUGGAGUUACAACUCACAGUUAAAUAGAAACGCAAAAGUCUUCAUCCAAGUGGCGCCCAGUCAAGUCAUAUGCAGUUGGGGCUUAGAUCUAGGCCAUUCAUUAUCUAUAGUGGAUAUCCUGGGCACAUUAUACUCACUUUCGCUGCAUUGAAAGACAUGACAACAUAAAAAAAGAACUAGGCAAUCCCCUUCAUCAUGGGCUUCCUUAUUAAUUUAAUGUAACUGGAUUUGAUGUUCUUCUGCUCUGAAUGUAAAUUCAACUGGAAUGGGUUGGUUCAACUCCAGGUAGGCUGCAUGUGUUUGUUGGGUUGAGUGGUCUGAGGAGGUUGUCUAGACUGUGCUGCUUGUUCUCCAUCCCUCUCCAUCUUGCCCAAAGACCCAAACAAUCUGUCAUCAACAAAGGGAGUAUAGCUAAUCCUUGACGACCUCCCACCCCUGAACCUCCACAGACCGCUCUGCUCAUGGUACAUAUUCUCUAAACUUACCUCCUACCAUGCUCACGUUGGGCCUUCAUCUCGUUAUUUUCCUUGUCUUGAGUAGGUUCUUGUUCCCAACCUCCUCAAUCAUUUCUUCACUUAGGUUCGCAAGUGAGUUAUCACAGGGUGCAACAUCACCCCCCUCACCACGUGAUGUCCCAAGAGGUGAAUACUUAAUACUGCCUCUCAACUCCUUUGCACAAAAAACAUAUCUCACCCUAGCCUCCAAAUACCCCCACCUCAUACUCCCAAAGAUGAUCUAUUUUCCCCUUUGACAAGUUUGAAAGCUCUAGCAAGUAUAGUGGCAACUAAGCAACAAGUGACUGAGGACAUCUUGGAACCUGAACCUACAUGAGAAGCUCUAGGCAAAUGAGAGUAGAGGCCCUACAUUAUUUUCAGGUUUCUUAUAAAAAAUGGGGUUAUUUGCAAACAAAUGGAACGCGUUUGGAUGGGGAAUCGCAUCCCUAAAUGCAUCAGACAUGCAAAGACAAAAACAAAAAAGCACUUUGUUACCUAAUAAAAGGAAGAAAUGGGAAAUAUGGAAUAAAGUACAAAAAAUUAAGGAAUAAUUCCUAAAAAUCAAGAGGGACUUUUAAGAAAUCAGUAGCAAAGUGGGGGGCAUCAAUGACUUUACAAAAAAAAAAGAAAAAUGUUUGCCAAUAUAUUCCAUGCUAAAAAAUUUUAAGCAUGACAUUUUUCUUAUUUGUUACAUAAUUUUUUCAUAUAUUUUAAAAAAUAGAUAUUCAAAGAAAAAUAGAUGAUCUAGUUGUCGAUUGACAAACGAAAACCAGAGCUAUAUGAAAUGAACCUUGGAUCUAUGUAGAUCUAGAAUAUUUUUACGAAACAAACCAGAUCUAGAGCUAUCAUAUAAAUAAAAUUAGGGAAAAUAUCCUAUUAUCCCUUAUUUUUAACUUCUAUAUCUCAUUAGACCCAAUAAUUGAAAAUAUUACUUGUAAGCAAAAGGACUCCAUCUUUUCUAUCUUCCAGCCCCCUAAACCCUUUUGACCAUGUAUUGGUGACCUCAACAACUUAUGAAAUGACUCUAUCUCUCUCUCUCUAAAACUCCAUCUCUCUCUCACAUCAUCGUCUCUCUCUCUCUCAAAACUCCAUCUCUCUCUAAAACCCAAACUCCAUCUCACACUCACAUCAUUGUCUCUCUCUCUCUA
rnacentral:lncRNA from 1 species